AGCGAAAGCUAGUUGUAUUAUUAGUUAAUGCAAGAUCGACUACGUCGACUAAAGUUCUAGGUAGAAUAAUGAUGAUGACAAUUUUUUACCUAUAUGUCUUGACCAAGUCUCGUGCCAGCAGUCGCGGUAAUACGUGGAAGACUAGUGUUAUUCAUCUUUAUUAGGUUUAAAGGGUACCUAGACGGUAUUUCUAGCCCAAAAUAGGGUACGGAUUUACUAGAGUUUUAUGUGAGGAGGGGAGUACUCGUGGAGUAGAGAUGAAAUUUUGUUAUACUAUGAGGUAACUGGUGGCGGCGAAAGCAACCUUCUAUGUAUAAACUGACGUUGAGGGACGAAGGCUUGGGUAGCAAAUAGGAUUAGAUACCCUAGUAGUCCAAGCAGACAAUUCUGAAUGCCAUAGAUUAGAUUUUUUUUGAUCUAUAAAUGAAAGUGUAAGCAUUCCACCUUAGGAGUAAUGUGGCAACACAGGAACUGAAAUCAUUAGACCGUUUCUGAAACCAGUAGUGAAGUAUGUUAUUUAAUUUGAUGGUCCACAAAAAACCUUACCACAACUUGAAUAUUUUUUAAUUAAUACAAGCGUUGCACGGCUGUCUUCAGUUAAUGUCGUGAGAUUUUGGUUAACUCCAUUAAUUAACGUAAACCCUUACUUUAUUUA
rnacentral:rRNA from 1 species